GGGUUGUGAGGUUAAGCGACUAAGCGUACACGGUGGAUGCCCUGGCAGUCAGAGGCGAUGAAGGACGUGCUAAUCUGCGAUAAGCGUCGGUAAGGUGAUAUGAACCGUUAUAACCGGCGAUUUCCGAAUGGGGAAACCCAGUGUGUUUCGACACACUAUCAUUAACUGAAUCCAUAGGUUAAUGAGGCGAACCGGGGGAACUGAAACAUCUAAGUACCCCGAGGAAAAGAAAUCAACCGAGAUUCCCCCAGUAGCGGCGAGCGAACGGGGAGCAGCCCAGAGCCUGAAUCAGUGUGUGUGUUAGUGGAAGCGUCUGGAAAGGCGCGCGAUACAGGGUGACAGCCCCGUACACAAAAAUGCACAUAUUGUGAGCUCGAUGAGUAGGGCGGGACACGUGGUAUCCUGUCUGAAUAUGGGGGGACCAUCCUCCAAGGCUAAAUACUCCUGACUGACCGAUAGUGAACCAGUACCGUGAGGGAAAGGCGAAAAGAACCCCGGCGAGGGGAGUGAAAAAGAACCUGAAACCGUGUACGUACAAGCAGUGGGAGCACGCUUAGGCGUGUGACUGCGUACCUUUUGUAUAAUGGGUCAGCGACUUAUAUUCUGUAGCAAGGUUAACCGAAUAGGGGAGCCGAAGGGAAACCGAGUCUUAACUGGGCGUUAAGUUGCAGGGUAUAGACCCGAAACCCGGUGAUCUAGCCAUGGGCAGGUUGAAGGUUGGGUAACACUAACUGGAGGACCGAACCGACUAAUGUUGAAAAAUUAGCGGAUGACUUGUGGCUGGGGGUGAAAGGCCAAUCAAACCGGGAGAUAGCUGGUUCUCCCCGAAAGCUAUUUAGGUAGCGCCUCGUGAAUUCAUCUCCGGGGGUAGAGCACUGUUUCGGCAAGGGGGUCAUCCCGACUUACCAACCCGAUGCAAACUGCGAAUACCGGAGAAUGUUAUCACGGGAGACACACGGCGGGUGCUAACGUCCGUCGUGAAGAGGGAAACAACCCAGACCGCCAGCUAAGGUCCCAAAGUCAUGGUUAAGUGGGAAACGAUGUGGGAAGGCCCAGACAGCCAGGAUGUUGGCUUAGAAGCAGCCAUCAUUUAAAGAAAGCGUAAUAGCUCACUGGUCGAGUCGGCCUGCGCGGAAGAUGUAACGGGGCUAAACCAUGCACCGAAGCUGCGGCAGCGACGCUGAUGCGUUGUUGGGUAGGGGAGCGUUCUGUAAGCCUGUGAAGGUGCGCUGUGAGGCAUGCUGGAGGUAUCAGAAGUGCGAAUGCUGACAUAAGUAACGAUAAAGCGGGUGAAAAGCCCGCUCGCCGGAAGACCAAGGGUUCCUGUCCAACGUUAAUCGGGGCAGGGUGAGUCGACCCCUAA
rnacentral:rRNA from 1 species